rnacentral:rRNA from 1 species
GCUCAGGACGAACGCUGGCGGCGUGCCUAAUACAUGCAAGUCGAGCGCGGGAAGCGAGCGGAUCCCUUCGGGGUGAAGCUCGUGGAACGAGCGGCGGACGGGUGAGUAACACGUGGGCAACCUGCCUGUAAGAUCGGAAUAACCCCGGGAAACCGGGGCUAAUGCCGGGUAAUACUUUUCUUCGCAUGAAGAUAAGUUGAAAGAUGGCUUCUCGCUAUCACUUACAGAUGGGCCCGCGGCGCAUUAGCUAGUUGGUGAGGUAACGGCUCACCAAGGCAACGAUGCGUAGCCGACCUGAGAGGGUGAUCGGCCACACUGGGACUGAGACACGGCCCAGACUCCUACGGGAGGCAGCAGUAGGGAAUCUUCCGCAAUGGACGAAAGUCUGACGGAGCAACGCCGCGUGAACGAUGAAGGUCUUCGGAUCGUAAAGUUCUGUUGUCAGGGAAGAACAAGUACCGUGCGAAUAGAGCGGUACCUUGACGGUACCUGACGAGGAAGCCCCGGCUAACUACGUGCCAGCAGCCGCGGUAAUACGUAGGGGGCAAGCGUUGUCCGGAAUUAUUGGGCGUAAAGCGCGCGCAGGCGGUUCCUUAAGUCUGAUGUGAAAGCCCACGGCUCAACCGUGGAGGGUCAUUGGAAACUGGGGAACUUGAGGACAGAAGAGGAGAGUGGAAUUCCACGUGUAGCGGUGAAAUGCGUAGAUAUGUGGAGGAACACCAGUGGCGAAGGCGACUCUCUGGUCUGUUUCUGACGCUGAGGUGCGAAAGCGUGGGUAGCAAACAGGAUUAGAUACCCUGGUAGUCCACGCCGUAAACGAUGAGUGCUAGGUGUUAGGGGGCUUCCACCC